GACAACUUCCAAAUCACGUUGAAAACUACCAGUUCUCGUCCGAUCACUGAAGUCAAGCAACGUUGAGCACGGUUAGUACUUGGAUGGGUGACCGCUUGGGAACACUGUGUGAUGUUGUCCCUU
rnacentral:rRNA from 1 species